AACCUCCGCAAUGUGAGAAAUCGCGACGGGGGGAUCCCAAGUGCCAUUCUUAACGGGAUGGCUUUUCUUAAGUGUAAAAAGCUUUUGGAAUAAGAGCUGGGCAAGACCGGUGCCAGCCGCCGCGGUAACACCGGCAGCUCUAGUGGUAGCAGUUUUUAUUGGGCCUAAAGCGUCCGUAGCCGGUUUAAUAAGUCUCUGGUGAAAUCCUGUAGCUUAACUGUGGGAAUUGCUGGAGAUACUAUUAGACUUGAGACCGGGAGAGGUUAGAGGUACUCCCAGGGUAGAGGUGAAAUUCUGUAAUCCUGGGAGGACCGCCUGUUGCGAAGGCGUCUAACUGGAACGGUUCUGACGGUGAGGGACGAAAGUUAGGGGCGCGAACCGGAUUAGAUACCCGGGUAGUCCUAACCGUAAACGAUGCGGACUUGGUGUUGGGGUGGCUUUGAGCUGCUCCAGUGCCGAAGGGAAGCUGUUAAGUCCGCCGCCUGGGAAGUACGGUCGCAAGACCGAAACUUAAAGGAAUU
rnacentral:rRNA from 1 species